rnacentral:piRNA from 1 species
UCCUGUAAAUUUUCAGUAGAUGUGUGUAA